rnacentral:tRNA from 5 species
GGCCCGUUCGUCUAAUGGUUAGGACACCAGGUUUUCAUUCUGGUAAUAGGGGUUCGAUUCCCCUACGGGCUACCA